rfam:Salmo salar isolate Sally breed double haploid chromosome ssa15, whole genome shotgun sequence.
GGAUGGUGUCAUUGUAAGUCGCUCUGGAUAAGAGCGUCUGCUAAAUGACUUAAA